rnacentral:miRNA from 1 species
UUGUUUUCUCUCCCCUACCACCUACCUCUUCCCUGCUAUGCUGCAGGCAGGAGAGGGUGCAGGGAGGGCCAGCAAG